GGAUUAGUGGCGAACGGGUGAGUAACGCGUGAGUAACCUGCCUUACACAAGGGGAUAGCCUCUGGAAACGGAGAAUAAUACCCUAUGAUAUUACUGGAUUGCAUAAUCGAGUAAUCAAAGUGUUUUAGCGGUGUAAGAUGGACUUGCGUCUGAUUAGCUAGUUGGUGAGAUAACAGCUCACCAAGGCAACGAUCAGUAGCCGGCUUGAGAGAGUGUACGGCCACAUUGGGACUGAGACACGGCCCAGACUCCUACGGGAGGCAGCAGUGGGGAAUUUUGCACAAUGGGGGCAACCCUGAUGCAGCGACGCCGCGUGAUUUAUGAAGGCCUUCGGGUUGUAAAAAUCUUUUGUAUAGGAAGAAACUGACAGUACUAUACGAAUAAGGUCCGGCUAAUUACGUGCCAGCAGCCGCGGUAAUACGUAAGGACCGAGCGUUGUCCGGAAUCAUUGGGCGUGAAGGGUACGUAGGCGGCUAAUUAAGUUAGAAGUCAAAGGCUAUAGCUCAACUAUAGUAAGCUUCUAAAACUGGUUAGCUUGAGAGAUGGAAGGGAAAGUGGAAUU
rnacentral:rRNA from 2 species